rnacentral:rRNA from 1 species
CCCUUAGAUGUUCUGGGCCGCACGCGUGCUACACUGAGUGGAUCAGCGGGUCAGGUUGCGCGAAAGCGUUUCCUAAUCUUGAAAUCCGCUCGUGAUGGGGAUUGACGGUUGCAAUUUUCUGUCAUGAACGAGGAAUACCUUGUAAGCGCGAGUCAUCAUCCCGCGCUGAAUACGUCCCUGCCCUUUGUACACACCGCCCGUCGCUCCUACCGAUUGAGUGGUCCGGUGAGGCUUUGGGAUCUGAGCGGAAAGAGCGUUUCGCUCGUUCUGCCCGGAAACCUCAGUCGAACCUUAUCAUUUAGAGGAAGGAGAAGUCGUAACA